rnacentral:rRNA from 1 species
CCUACGGGUUGCAGCAGUGGGGAAUGUUGCACAAUGGGCGCAAGCCUGAUGCAGCCAUGCCGCGUGUAUGAAGAAGGCCUUCGGGUUGUAAAGUACUUUCAGCGAGGAGGAAGGCAUCAAGGUUAAUAACCUUGGUGAUUGACGUUACUCGCAGAAGAAGCACCGGCUAACUCCGUGCCAGCAGCCGCGGUAAUACGGAGGGUGCAAACGUUAAUCGGAAUUACUGGGCGUAAAGCGCACGCAGGCGGUCUGUCAAGUCAGAUGUGAAAUCCCCGGGCUCAACCUGGGAACUGCAUUUGAAACUGGCAAGCUAGAGUCUCGUAGAGGGGGGUAGAAUUCCAGGUGUAGCGGUGAAAUGCGUAGAGAUCUGGAGGAAUACCGGUGGCGAAGGCGGCCCCCUGGACGAAGACUGACGCUCAGGUGCGAAAGCGUGGGGAGCAAACAGGAUUAGAUACCCUCGUAGUC